GACGAACGCUGGCGGCGUGCUUAACACAUGCAAGUCGAACGGAAAGGCCCUGCUUUUGUGGGUUGCUCGCGUGGGGAACGGGUGAGUAAAACGUAAGUAACUUGCCUUUGUCUUUGGGUUAACUUAAGGAAACUGGGCCUAAUACCGGAUAGGAGCUCUUGCGGCAUGGUGGGGGUUGGAAAGUUUGCGCGGUUUGGGAUGGAUUCGCGGCUUAUCAGCUGGUUGGUGGGGUAGUGGUUAGCCAAGGGUUGGACGGGUAGCCGGCCUGGGAGGGUGCCCGGCCACAUUGGGACUGAGAUACGGCCCAGACUCCUACGGGAGGCAGCAGUGGGGAAUAUUGCACAAUGGGCGGAAGCGUGAUGCAGCAACGCCGCGUGCGGGAUGACGGCCUUCGGGUUGUAAACCGCUUUCGCCUGUAACGAAGCGUGAGUGACGGUAAUGGGUAAAGAAGCACCGGCUAACUACGUG
rnacentral:rRNA from 1 species